CAGUGCAAUGAUAUUGUCACUAU
rnacentral:miRNA from 1 species